AGGAUCUUUAGGGUCUAGAGGGUCGGGAUAGUAGGAUUCACGCGUAGUCGCUCGCCCGGAGCUUCCUUUCGCUCAAACCAGGAACGUUGUGUGGCCCUCCGUUCAUUGUCGACAUGCUCUCUGUAGGUCAUUCACUAGGUCCCCCCGUGUGGCUCUGGGAUUUUUGCUCACCGUUAUUGUCAUCAUUUUGACACCACGGGGUGAGAUCUUGCAUGGAGCCCCAGAUCGAGCGAGAUUAUAAGUGGUCUUAUUCAGUCUUCCCAGCCUGGUGCAGGUCUACAAUUUUGUCUCUGGUGUCCUACGACAGCUCUUUGGUCUUGGCCAUAGUGGAGUUUGGAGUGUGACUGACUGAAGUUGUGGACCGGUGUCUUUAAUACCAAUAAUGAGUUAAAACAGAUGCCUUUAAUACAGGUAACGAGCGGAGCCUCGUUAGACCUCGUUAGAAGAAGUUAGACCUCUUUGACAGCCAGAAAUCUUGCUUGUUUGUA